UCCAACAUAGUAUGUGUGUAGGUUUGCAACAUUUACUUAUUCCAUUGCCCUUCAGAAUGCUUUACCGGCUUUCUUGUGCUGCUUUAAGUAAGCAAAAGGGUGACAACGCUACUGAAUUUGCCAAGUGUCAUAUCCCAUCUGUUGUCGUUGAAGGUUCUCUUUUAUCCGGCUUGAAUCUCCUUUUGAGGGUACUGGGAGAUCUGAGCCAGAGAGUGCUGGGUCUUCCACAAUCAGUAAUGUAGAUAGUAUAAAUGCAGAUUAUGUAGAUGAUAACGCCCCUAGGCAUGUAAGUCCUUUAAGGACGGUCUUCCUUCUAUUCCGCGUAGGUGAUGAGAAUAGGCUGUAAUAUACUUUUCUUUUAAUGAAAAUUUAUUUCUGUCUCUUACUUCAUGUUCAUACCUGAGUUAUUUCAUGUCUUGUGUUUACGCUUGAAUUAUUUUUGCCUUUGUCUGUUUUUUAAUACUCUACCGAGCUAUCUAAACUAUUACAAGCACAAUUUGUUCAAAUUUUUUCAGAAUGAAAUACUCAAACUAUUCCCCGUAAUUCAUAAGGAAUUGAGCACACAGUCCCUUACCGCUUGCUUUUAAGCUAACCAGGGCUGAAGACUUAGCCCAAGACUUGGCUUCUGGCUUGUAAAUUUCUUCAAUUUCACAGGGGCCUUCUCACCUGUAGGCUUUUUCCGAGCUGGAUUUACUGUAAGGAUAAGAUUCUGAGCUGUGCUCCUUUACGGGUUUUGACUCCAUUAGGUCCUCAGCCUGAGCUCGGUUUUUAACAGUUGACCAGUCGUCCUCAAUUUUCUUUUCAUUACUUCAUGCAUAUGAUCUCAGGCGUAUAGCCUUUGUAUAAUCAAAGUAAAAUGGAUUAUGUACCUUUUAAGGGGAUAAACAGGGCUGGCCUUCUUAGUUUUAGUUCUGUUCCGACAGGAUUUGAGGUUGAGGCCUUAUCUUCUCACGCCAUUGGACUUUUUCUUAGCUUAUAGGAGGUGUGUUUUCUUCAGUUUGAUUUUUGAGCUUUCUGAGCUCGGCUUUCUUUUGCUUGGUUUUCUGAGUUCGUGUUUUUAGGUCGACACUUUUGGCCCAUUGUCGUCUUUCGUCUGAUGAUUCAGUUCUCGGGUAUGCCUCGACUGGGUCCUUUGCUGCUUAGAUCUUUCUCUAGGCUAGUCGAGCUGGUUUAGUGUCAUCAGUUAAUUUUGGGGGUCGGCGUCUUAAUAGCUUGUAAUCCGAGUUUGGAUUUAGACUUUUUAUUUCUG
rnacentral:lncRNA from 1 species